ensembl:ncRNA lncRNA:CR43847 long non-coding RNA:CR43847
CUCAUUCGCCCCGUUCACCCAAUCUAGUUUGCUUGUGAAUAAUUCUCAUAUUGCCUUUUCGUGUGCGUUUUGCUGGAUUUUGGUUGAUCGUUGUAGUAGCUCUAGUUUUGUUGAUAUUUAAAACGAGUAAUCAACGUCAGUCGUGUUGGAAAAUUGAACUGUUGGCCACUGGAUGCCAGAAACUAACAAUGCAGAGAACAGGAUUGUUUAAAUUUUCGAUAACUUUAAGCCAAACACUUAAAAAUUAAAUUCGCCCUUCUCGCGCUGAUGCUUAUCUCUUUGAAGGCACGUCUGCUCUGGUUUUGGAUAAAAAAAAAAUUAAAUGCGGCAGUAACAACAAUUUCAGUUCAGUGGGGUUGGCGGCUGGGGGGUCAGGGGUCGAAGGUCGCAUCCCCUUGGGCCAUGCGGCUGUGGGAACAGCGCAAUUUGCGAGCCACAAAAUGUCUAAGCAAAAAAAAGGAAAACAGGCAAAGGGCCCGCACAAAAUUCGACUUCGAAUGCCAAUUGAGAAUUUAAUAAAAGAACAAAAAAAAAAGAGGCGGAGAAUGGCAAUGAAAAUGGAAGAUACAGCCAGAAAACUUGGAAUUGUUGUGCACAAGUGCCGGUUAAAUAUUUUAGGCAAAUGCCUCAACCUCUGAGCCCCAAACUCCGUUCGGGCCUCAAAGAAUCUGACGAGUUGCCGGGCCAAAAUAAAUCAGCUGGGGCGUAGGCACUUGAGUUGAUUUAUGGCAAUGACUGCUGGGGGCAGAAGCCUCAUCAUGGCGUAGAAUCAUCAGGUUAGGUGAUUCCACUUUUCCAAAUUGCCUCGAGCCCCGUUUUGGAGCUUCCUCAGACAUUGACAAUAUCUAUGCAACUCGAAAAACAAAUUUUGAAGUGUAAUUUUAGGAAUGACAUGUACACAUACGCCUUAUAAAUAUGCACAAAAUUAUAU